rnacentral:lncRNA from 1 species
GCGGAGGGGCGGCGCCAGCGCCCGCCCGGCUCAGGCGUGCAAGCGGGGCGGCACGCAAGGUGCCUCCGUGUCCCCAGCCCCCGCCGGCCGGCUUCCUUUCUGGGUCCAGUCCAGACUGCUCGGCGUCCGGGCUUCAGCCUUGCAAAGCGAAGUACCUGAAAAAGUACCUGGGCUUGACCUGCGGUGCUGUCAGCCCCGCGAACGCCGGGGUUGCGGUGCCUUUCUGUCGGACUGCAAACUCAGAGCUGAAGUUCAGGCUCCUGGCUUGUGCCUGGCUCCGGCUGUGGCCUGGUGACUGAGCUCUGAAAGCCAGAGCGGCCCCCUCCAGAUUCGGGAAUGUUCAGACCUGUGCACCUGCUAUGCAGUGCUGUCAAGCAGCAGAACGAGAGAUGAAGAAAAAGUCAUAGACAUUCAAAAGAUUGUCCAGGGCUGGAUCGUUUGUCACACAGACCUUCUGAGGACAGCCUUCACCCUGCCACCCUUGAAACCUGGCCCCACUGAUUUUCAUCCGGAUGGGGUUGUGUCUGUCUGUUUUCAGGCAGAAGGGGAACAGCUUUGUCUAGAAACUGGAUUUCCUGAUUCUCAAAGAUGAAAACUGAAGCAUACUUCUCUAUCAACUUUCAUAAAAGUUUGAAAUAAACCUAAUUCUGUGUCACUUUAUUUUUAUCCUAUAUAUUUGUGAUAUGCAACCUGUAGUUUUUAAUGUUUCCACUAAAAUUACACACUGGGAAAAAUUUAUGCAUCAGGGAAUUUUUUUUUACUGAAAUGACUUCCAUUUAUUGAAGUCAUUUUUCCCCCAUGGUGAUUUACAGGAUCUUUGAGCCAAUAUAAAUAUUUCAUAAAUAUUUGGCCAUUUGGGUA